ACGUCUGGUUUUGUCUCCCACCUUGCCAGCUGCUCAGGGUUGGACUUGUGAGCAAACCGCAGGUGCUCAGUGAGUGCUUACUGAGCUCAUUAACCAUGGAGAUGACUCACUAAAAACCUUGUCCCACUUCUGUCCUCAGCGGGCCUGUCCCCUGGCCUGGGUCACAUCAUUCUGCUGUAGGAGGAGGACCCACACAUCCCUUCUCUGCCAACCCCUCCUUAGGGCUCAGCCUAAAGGACAUAGGAAGCAGGGGGCACUGGCCUGCCCUGAGGACCCCAGCCCCCUGAGGAGGCAGGUGGAUAAAUGCUGCCCACAGUGGUCCUUACUGGUGUGGAGAUAGCCUGAGGACCUUCUGUCUAAGCCCCGGGUGGAGAGCCUCAGGGCCAGGAAUG
rnacentral:lncRNA from 1 species